UACGAAGGGUGCAAGCGUUACUCGGAAUUACUGGGCGUAAAGGGUGCGUAGGUGGUUGUUUAAGUCUGUUGUGAAAGCCCCGGGCUCAACCUGGGAAUGGCAAUGGAUACUGGACAGCUAGAGUGCGGUAGAGGGUAGUGGAAUUCCCGGUGUAGAGGUGAAAUUCGUAGAUAUCGGGAGGAACACCGGUGGCGAAGGCGGCGACCUGGGUAGAUACUGACGCUGAGGUGCGAAAGCGUGGGGAGCAAACAGG
rnacentral:rRNA from 1 species